UCUUCUCCCCUGUCACAGCCUAUAAUGCCUUCAGAGUUGCCAUGGGUGUCUUGGCGGCUUCCCUCACUAGUCUCAUUCUUGCGCACUCAGUUUUUGAGAACUGUCUACUCCAGACAGAUUUACUAU